GAUGAACGCUGGCGGCGUGCCUAAUACAUGCAAGUCGAGCGAACGGACGAGAAGCUUGCUUCUCUGAUGUUAGCGGCGGACGGGUGAGUAACACGUGGAUAACCUACCUAUAAGACUGGGAUAACUUCGGGAAACCGGAGCUAAUACCGGAUGAUAUUUUGAACCGCAUGGUUCAAAAGUGAAAGACGGUCUUGCUGUCACUUAUAGAUGGAUCCGCGCUGCAUUAGCUAGUUGGUAAGGUAACGGCUUACCAAGGCAACGAUGCAUAGCCGACCUGAGAGGGUGAUCGGCCACCCUGGAACUGAGACACGGUCCAGACUCCUACGGGAGGCAGCAGUAGGGAAUCUUCCGCAAUGGGCGAAAGCCUGACGGAGCAACGCCGCGUGAGUGAUGAAGGUCGUCGGAUCGUAAAACUCUGUUAUUAGGGAAGAACAUAUGUGUAAGUAACUGUGCACAUCUUGACGGGACCUAAUCAGAAAGCCACGGCUAACUACG
rnacentral:rRNA from 1 species